AGGAAAAAUGGCGUCGAUCGGGAGCAGUGGUUCGGAGUGCUGAGAACUGAAAACAAUACAGCAACUUAAAGCAGAGAGGAAUGUACAACAAACCACUUAUUCUUAACCUGUCGCUGAGGUAGUAACUAGGGAAGAAAUUACCAAGGAAGAGAUAAUGGAAAAGGGGCGUUGUGAGGAAAGUAAAGAUACAAGUAAUUCAUCAAGAAAAAGGAAGAUGAACAUCCAGGAGCUUGAAAUUGAGAAUUUAAGACUGGAAAACACUAAACUGUAGAAGAAAUUCAAGCGUUUGAAUACAUUUCAUGAGAAAUAGGUGUCUCUGAUGUGACCCCGCACCGUUCUUCCAACAGCAUCCUCCGGAAUAACAAAAUCAGGGACCACCAAUGAAGCAGGAAUCUGGGGAACAUCUCUAAGAAUGUCUCCCCUGUCUACGAGGGUUGUUCGGAAAUUUAUUGAGACAACACGGAUAUUUCCAUUUCUAAGUGACGAAUUAUAGUGAAAAUUGGCAUGAACAUUGAAGAAACCUUAACAAAUAAUUAAAGAAAGUAAUAUUUGAAAAAUGUUUAAUAUUUUGUUUACAACGGUAGAUUAACAAAUCGGUGGUGGAGUACCCGGCGCAAGCAUUAACUCGGAGAAUAAGAAAACUAAAACAUCGUCUAUCUAAGUGUACGCAAACUUACAGCUUAUACUAAAAGAAAUCAGAUUAUAUAUGUUCAAUUCGCUCUUAAUUGUGACUAACUUUUGAUCAAGUUUCACGAGUGUUUAAGUUGAAAUACGGAUAUGGUACAGAUAUAUUUACUAAGCAAUAGGAAUUUGAAAACGACAGUAUAUAGAAAUUUGACGUCAAGGCGGCGCAGCGAAUACAUGUAAACAUCAAAUUGAUGGAAAUUUCGGAAAAAGACCUUUUAAUACCACCCAACUGCUUUAACAAAAACUACACGAUAGCAAGGGAUAAAGAACUUCAGUUUAUCGUCUUUUUUCACUAACUGUUUAGCUAGAACUCAGACAAAGUGACUAAAUAUCAAGUACUUUUUACACUCUUUCUGAUGUAAACAGUUCUAAAAUAUGUACACAGAAUCACUGUAGGAGACAUUUCACAGUAAUUUGACUUUCAGUUAGAAAUGACCCGAUUUUUUUUCACAAAAACAAGAAUGGAGGGAAUAUGCGAAUGUUGACAUCUUAAAAUGUAAACAAAAGAUGAGAAAUGAAGAAUUAAUUCUAAUUUCCCUUUGUUUGUUAGGUUUUUAAAACAUAGGAUCAAUAAGAAGCGUCAAAAUGACGUUGCGGUAAGUUUGCGGUUGCGCCGGGUCACUGGGCGAUGGCAAUUUGGUCAGCUUACCAGGAAUGAUUCAAUCAUGCUAUGGACAAUAAACUUUUUACAUUGAUGAACUCUAUCCUGGUGUAAGUUUUGGUGAAAUUUCAAGGAUUUAUCUUUUCCCCCAAGGAAAUAAGAGUAAAUGUCUAAAUAAUUUUCGAACAACCCUCGUAGACAAAUGUUAUGCAGGAUGACACAUGCAGUAAUCAUCCUGCACGCUCUCUCAGGAUUGGCUCAUAGACCCGUGUAGAGCGCAUUAAACCUUUUCUUCAGAACACCAAAAGUCUGUUCAAUUGUAACCCUUAAAACAGAAAGACAAAACAGAAAAUAAAGUAUGAUGUGUCGUAUUUGGUAGAUUGUCAGAGGUAAUGGGUGUGCGUACUUGCCUGGUUCUGCAAUCAGCUGAAUUAAAUCUUUGAGAAGGUGCUGUUUCAGUGGAGAUAUACGGAGUCAUCAAGUAUGGUUUUAAACCGUAUCCCGAGUCUCCUAAGAGAGUUCCUUGAAUUUGACCUAAAAUAAUAUAUACAAUUAUAUAAAAGAAAGGAACGGAGAGACAACUAAUGUCUAAAUGAUAGUUUUAUUUGCUAUGGACAUACCUUCUUCCAUGAUUUUGCACAGUUGGGACUCGCGAAAUAUUCUGGAAUCAUGAACACUUCCAGGCCACUUGGCUUCAAGAUCGAUUACUCUGAAACGAGGGUCACACGUCAUUUAUUAAUUAUAAACAAUGUUAAUUAUUAUAUUAUCAUAAUUCAAUAUAUAAAGCUUAUUCAAAGUCUCUUUUUCAAGGGUGAAACAACUUAUUUCAUUGCAAAAUUCUUUUGCAAGCAAAAUUGACAUGAUUUUUUCCUUUUAUUUUAUUUCAGAAUUGAACAUGUAAUAAAACAAUUUGCACAAUAAUGCUAUGAAAUAUACAAUCUUUGAGAAU
rnacentral:sRNA from 1 species